rnacentral:rRNA from 1 species
UGAGGAAUAUUGGACAAUGGGCGCAAGCCUGAUCCAGCCAUGCCGCGUGCAGGAAGAAGCAUCUAUGGUGUGUAAACUGCUUUUGUACGGGAAGAAACACUCCUACGUGUAGGAGCUUGACGGUACCGUAAGAAUAAGGAUCGGCUAACUCCGUGCCAGCAGCCGCGGUAAUACGGAGGAUCCAAGCGUUAUCCGGAAUCAUUGGGUUUAAAGGGUCCGUAGGCGGUUUAGUAAGUCAGUGGUGAAAGACCAUCGCUCAACGAUGGAACGGCCAUUGAUACUGCUAGACUUGAAUUAUUAGGAAGUAACUAGAAUAUGUAGUGUAGCGGUGAAAUGCUUAGAUAUUGCAUGGAAUACCAAUUGCGAAGGCAGGUUACUACUAAUGAAUUGACGAUGAUGGACGAAAGCGUGGGGAGCGAAAA